rnacentral:snRNA from 1 species
AUCGCUUCUCGAGCUUUUUAGCUCAGAUCAAAGUGUAGUAUCUGUUCUUAUCAGCUUAAUCUCUGGUACAACCAUCAUUGAUGGUUUUGAGUGGGACCUGAGUGUUUGUUGGGGCUUGCCCCUCAUCGCUCACUGGUCGGCCCGGUCUUGCACCUACCUCCGGGAACGGCCUAAAAUUA